UGUGGGAAGGCAUAGACAGCUAGGAGGUUGGCUUAGAAGCAGCCAUCCUUUAAAGAAAGCGUAAUAGCUCACUAGUCGAGUCGGCCUGCGCGGAAGAUGUAACGGGGCUAAAACUACAUGCCGAAGCUGCGGAUGCCUAUUUUAUAGGCGUGGUAGGGGAGCGUUCUGUAAGUCUGCGAAGGUGUGUUGAGAAGCAUGCUGGAGAUAUCAGAAGUGCGAAUGCUGACGUGAGUAACGAUAAGGGGUGUGAAAAACAUCCCCGCCGGAAGACCAAGGGUUCCUGCUCAACGUUAAUCGGAGCAGGGUGAGUCGACCCCUAAGGCGAGGCUGAAAAGCGUAGUCGAUGGGAAAUAGGUUAAUAUUCCUAUACCUCUUACUGAUGCGAUGGAGGGACGGAGAAGGCUAGGUUUACCAGCGAUUGGUAGUGCUGGGGAAAGGUUGUAGGCAUGUAUCUUAGGCAAAUCCGGGAUACUUUAUGCUGAGAACUGAGACGAACCCAUACUUGUAUGGGGAAGUAACUGAUGCCAUGCUUCCAAGAAAAGCUUCUAAGCUUCAGUCAGUAAGGGAUCGUACCCGAAACCGACACAGGUGGUCAGGUCGAGAAGACUAAGGCGCUUGAGAGAACUCUGGUGAAGGAACUAGGCAAAAUAGUACCGUAACUUCGGGAGAAGGUACGCUGUUGAUGGUGAAGGAUUUACUCCGUAAGCUAUCGGCAGCCUCAGAAACUAGGCCGCUGCGACUGUUUAUUAAAAACACAGCACUCUGCAAACACGAAAGUGGACGUAUAGGGUGUGAUGCCUGCCCGGUGCUGGAAGGUUAAUUGAUGGGGUUAGCGAAAGCGAAGCUCUUGAUCGAAGCCCCAGUAAACGGCGGCCGUAACUAUAACGGUCCUAAGGUAGCGAAAUUCCUUGUCGGAUAAGUUCCGACCUGCACGAAUGGCAUAAUGAUGGCGGCGCUGUCUCCACCAGAGACUCAGUGAAAUCGAAAUCGCGGUGAAGAUGCCGUGUACCCGCGGCUAGACGGAAAGACCCCGUGAACCUCUACUGCAGCUUUGCACUGAACUUUGACCUUACUUGUGUAGGAUAGGUGGGAGGCUUUGAAGCUCGGACGCUAGUUCGAGUGGAGCCAUCCUUGAAAUACCACCCUGGUAAUGUCGAGGUUCUAACCCAGAUCCGUUAUCCGGAUCGGGGACAGUGUAUGGUGGGUAGUUUGACUGGGGCGGUCUCCUCCUAAAGAGUAACGGAGGAGUACGAAGGUGCGCUCAGCGUGGUCGGAAAUCACGCAAUGAGUAUAAAGGCAAAAGCGCGCUUAACUGCGAGACCUACAAGUCGAGCAGGUACG
rnacentral:rRNA from 1 species